AGGCAAGACGGAGCUAACCUGGGGAAGUGAAACAUCUCAGUACCCAGAGGAAAAGAAAUCAAGACAGAGACUCCCUUAGUAGCGGCGAGCGAACGGGGACCAGGCCAAACCCAGGGGUAGAGAUACUCGUGGGGGUUGUAGGGCCCAUGACAUGGCACGAGCAACACGAGACGAACAGGCAUGGAAAGGCCGGCCAGAGCGGGUGACAGCCCCGUAGUCGUAGUGGCGCGAAGCCUAGUGGGUACCUGAGUACCGCGGGACACGUGAAAUCCUGUGGGAAUCCGGCGGGACCAUCCGCCAAGCCUAAGUACUCCUCAUCGACCGAUAGUGAACAAGUACCGUGAGGGAAAGGUGAAAAGCACCCCGAGAGGGGAGUGAAAAUAGAACCUGAAACCGUGUGCCUACAAGCACUGAGAGCACGACGCCGUAAGGCCGUGUGAUCGGGUACCUUUUGCAUAAUGGCCCUACGAGUUACGUUUCGUGGCGAGGUUAAGCCGUAAGGUGGAGCCGGAGGGAAACCAAGUCCGAAUAGGGCGAAAGUCGCGGGGCGUAGACCCGAAGCCCGC
rnacentral:rRNA from 1 species